UCCGGUUUGUCACCGGCAGUCUCGCAUGAGUCCCCGGCCGAACCGCUGGCAACAUGCGACGGGGGUUGCGCUCGUUGCGGGACUUAACCCAACAUCUCACGACACGAGCUGACGACAGCCAUGCAGCACCUGUGUUCCGAUUCCCUUUCAGGCACACCCACCUCUCAGCGGGCUCUCGGACAUGUCAAGGGUAGGUAAGGUUCCUCGCGUAUCAUCGAAUUAAACCACAUGUUCCUCCGCUUGUGCGGGCCCCCGUCAAUUCCUUUGAGUUUCAGUCUUGCGACCGUACUCCCCAGGCGGCGAACUUAACGCGUUAGCUUCGACACUGAUCUCCGAGUUGAGACCAACGUCCAGUUCGCAUCGUUUAGGGCGUGGACUAC
rnacentral:misc_RNA from 1 species